GUCGAGGGAGAAGCAGUCGUUCCGUAAGGUCCGACUGUGGAAACCGGCGAACGGGUGCGUAACACGUGAGAAACCUGCCCCCCAGAUCGGGAUAGCCCAGGGAAACUUGGAUUAAAACCGGAUACUCUCUUGGGAUCGCAUGAUCCCUUGAGGAAACAGUCCGCUGCUGGGGGAUGGUCUCGCGGCCUAUCAGCUUGUUGGUGAGGUAACGGCUCACCAAGGCUAAGACGGGUAGCUGGUCUGAGAGGACGAUCAGCCACACUGGAACUGAGACACGGUCCAGACUCCUACGGGAGGCAGCAGCAGGGAAUAUUGCACAAUGGGCGAAAGCCUGAUGCAGCGACACCGCGUGCGGGAUGACGGCCUUAGGGUUGUAAACCGCUUUCGGGAGGGAAGAAAAUGACGGUAUCUCCUAAAGAAGCUCCGGCCAACUACGUGCCAGCAGCCGCGGUAAUACGUAGGGAGCAAACGUUGUCCGGAUUUAUUGGGCGUAAAGGGCUCGUAGGCGGUUCAACAAGUCGGUCGUGAAAACCCGGAGCUCAACUCCGGGACGCCGGUCGAAACUGUUGUGACUAGAGUUCGGUAGAGGUGAGUGGAAUUCUCGGUGUAGCG
rnacentral:rRNA from 1 species